rnacentral:rRNA from 1 species
UACGAAGGGGACUAGCGUUGUUCGGAUUUACUGGGCGUAAAGCGCGCGUAGGCGGAUCGCUAAGUCAGGGGUGAAAUCCCAGGGCUCAACCCUGGAACUGCCUUUGAUACUGUCGAUCUGGAGUAUGGAAGAGGUGAGUGGAAUUCCGAGUGUAGAGGUGAAAUUCGUAGAUAUUCGGAGGAACACCCGUGGCGAAGGCGGCUCUCUGGGACGGUACUGACGCUGAGACGCGAAAGCGUGGGGAGCGAACAGG